ensembl:lncRNA
CUGAUUAACAAGGUUUCCCUGAAAAAAAGUAGGUGAAAGUUAGCAUUUGAUUUCAGUCAGUAAUGUGGCAGUGCUUUGUACACCCGGCCCAGGAUUUGAAAGAAAUAAACAUUCACCGAAUGGCCUUUCUUUCCUUUGGAGAUAAACAUCUUUCACUUCUCAGAAUUCUGCUUUGAACUACGUGGGAACAUUUCAAAGCGGGAUGAUUUCAAAAAAAACUUCCUUCGUGUUGAGAAUUUAGGAGAACUUACGUCUGGAUUUCAAUCUCUUUGAAGCAGCCCUGGUUUUGAACCAAAACAGCCUCUAACAAAGCACCUGAUCUAUGGUUGACAUAUGUGGGAUGGAGCUGAUCCCAGAGACGUGGCAUUUUGAUUUCUGCUUCUGAGGCUGCUCUGUAACUGCUGGGCUGCUACAUGGAAGGUAUCUGCCAGCACCUCUUCAAGGAGAGGAGCCCCACUGUGCCAUUCACUCUGUGCUUCCUGUGCACUGUCGAUAUGCCUGAGCCUGCCUCCUGAUAAUGCUACUCAGGGGCUCAUAUCCUGCAGGGAUCUGCAUUCCGAUGACCUCCUGGAUGCCUGCAAGACUGUGACAGAAGGGAAUUCCUCCCUGGCAAGGAUGAGACCAAAGAUGGGUGGUGGGUGCACGGAAGUCCAUCACAUGACUGAGCCAUAACUUCUGGUGCAGAACAAAAGCAAACCCCCUACAUGUGUCCCAGGUCAGGUGACGUGCCUAGGACUUUCCUUUCCAAAGGAAAAUCAAAGUCUACAAGCAAAGUACGUGCUAGUCCAUGUACUUCCCAUCAAUCAUGCUGUGAGGAGUCGUAAAAAAAACUAUUUCCUUAUUCCUGACCUGGAGCCAAAGACCUGGAGCAUGUGGUUUGAUUAUCGCCACUGUUGUAAAGUGGUGCUCAGCCUGCUGUGAGUCAGCUCUGAAGAAGGGCUCAUCACGGGGCACAGAGGGUUGCAGUAUCCUGGAGCUGUGUGGCACCCCUGGAUGUGUCUCUGGAAAAGCCCAGAAGGGAAGAAGAGAAACACAGCCCAAGACCUUAUGGCUAAUGAGUCAUAGGAUCACAGAACCAUAGAACGAUUUGGGUUGGAAGGGACCUCCAAGCCCACGCUGCCCUAACCCGAGCCAUGGGCAGGGCUGCCGCCCACCAGCUCAGGCUGCCCAGGGCCUCAUCCAACCUGGCCUUGAGCGCCUCCAGGGAUGGGGCACCACAGCUUCCCUGGGCAGCUGUGCCAACGCCUCACCACCCUCCUAGGAAAUAUUUUCCUAAUAUCUAAUCUGAAUCUCCCCUUUUAGUUUGGAAUUGUUACUUCUUGUUCUGUCACGAGGAAGCCAAUUCUCUGCACCACAUCCAGGACCUUGCAGCCUCCUGCGCUGCUGGAUGCUCACCAGGUACAGCCCUUGUCUACUACAUAAGAAGACUGCAGAGAAAAAAAAAUUGGACAGUUUAUUCAAAAGAAAAUCAAGAGGCAUCUUGAUCACAGCCUGUAUCUGCUAAUUGAGGGAUAAAAAGCAGGAUGGAGUUCCCAGCCAACAAAACACAGCAAGAAACAGGGCAAAAAAAGCUCCAUGCUUUGGAUGGUUAGCAGCUUAUCAGCAGGAGGAAAAGGUUUUUGUGUUAGUGAGGCUUUAAACCAAGUCAGAAUUCCUGUCAGAGAUGGGCUGUGUCUCUGAGUGAGACACAGGCUGAGUGCAGGCAGUGGCCAUGAGUGGUGUCCUUGGUCAGGUCCCACCCAGGGACAUGCGAGCAAAAGGCACAGCUGCAGGUUCUAUCAGCCGUUGGUCCUGGAGCAGCAGGAACAAAGGAUGAGGGUAGAUUAGAUGGGAGGUCUUACAUGGAGUGAAAGUAAAAGUGAAAGUCCAUACCUCUGCAAUGUCUCAGUGAGCAAGGACUGCUGUACAUGUAAAAGGCCAAGUCCAGCGUGCACUGGAGUUAGAUUUUGGCUCUCAAAAGUUCUUCUCAAGAAGCUAUGAGACAUCAUGACGUACUGAAAUUAUUAGACAGCAAAAAUUUAGCUAGCAAAAAUUGUUAGUGAUAAGUAUUAAGGGAAAUCCGAACCGUUAGCCUUUGUACCUCUGAAUACAUCUCUAUUCACAUACCACUAGCUUGCUUUCUUACACAUAGUGGGUGGAUGCUGGUACGAGGCACGCAUAAGCAAAACGGAUCUGAAGAACACUAUAUCCAUUGUGAAGAGAAAUUAAAGAAGCUUUCGAAGGGCUAUCAGUUUACUGAAGCAGUUCAGUUUUUUGCCUUUUCUCAGUAAAUAGUUUUUUAUCCUCUCACAGCUUACACUUACUCCAGAAUGUAGAGGGUGAACUUCAGACUUUUCCCUCCAAAGGAAAUGGUUACGAGAACUUAUAUGUCAAAGAGUUUCACGUCAUGGUUGUUUUGUCUUUGGGCUUUUUGUAAGUGGCUUCUUGUUGUGCUGUGGUGUGCUGCAGCCGAGGUUCACUGAUCCGGGCCCAAACUGCUGUGUAAAACAAAGGAAGCAACUGGAUAAGUAUAACCUUUUGGGUCAUACUAAUGGUGUGCAUCUGCUUUUGGAACGGGAGUCUUGCUUUCCACAAACCCCCUUUAAUGUGCACUUCAAUGGCUGGGAGAACUCCUUGAGAGCAGCCCUGCGGAGAAGGACUUGGGGGCUCUGGUGGGUGAGAAGCUGGACGUGAGCCAGCAGUGUGUGCUUGCAGCUCGGAAGGCCAACUGUGUUCUGAGCUGCAUCAACAAGAAGGGUGGGCAGCAGGGAGAGGGAGGUGAUUGUGCUCCUCUGCUCUGCCUUCGUGAGGCCCCAUCUGGAGUACUGCGUCCAAGCCUGGGGCCCCCAGCACAAGAAGGAGUGGAGCUGUUGGAGAGGGUCCAGAGGAGGGCAUGAAGAUGCUCAGAGGGCUGGAGCACCUCUCCUGUAAAGACAGGCUGAGGGAGCUGGGCUUGUUUAGUCUGGAGAAGAGAAGGAUGCAGGGAGAUUUCACUGUGGCCUUCCCAUUACUUGAGGGGAGCAUAUAAAUAGGAGGGAAACUGACUUUUUACGUGGUCUGAUAGUGAUAGGACAAGGGGGAAUGGCUUUAAACUAAAAGGGUGAAAUCUAGGUUAGAUCUUAUGAGGAAAUUCCUUACUCAGAGGGCGGUGAGGCGCUGACACAGCUGCCCAGGGAAGCUGUGGUG